AAAUACAAAGCUAAAUGGACAGUGAAGAUAGUGAGAAAUUAGUUAA
rnacentral:guide_RNA from 1 species